GGAUAAAGCUCAGUUGGUAGAGUGCUUGCCCCGUAUGAAUAAGGCCCUGGGUUCAAUCCCCAGAACCA
rnacentral:tRNA from 1 species